GGGGCGAAAAGAGGACGAGAGGAGGCUACAGGAGGCAGAGGAAGCUCCAUCGUCAGGGAGCGAGACACUGCGCAGCAUCCGCACCCGGGAAUGAGGGCGCCUUCUCGGUCACAGAGCGCGUCCUCCUCGGUUCCCUCCUUGCGGGUCUGGGACUCCACGAGACGGAUACAAAGAGCGGGAGCGACCUGGAGCUUCCGUCCACGGGCCACUAAGUGCUUGUGGUCGCACGUAUCGAUCCAAUCACCUGCUUGUCACACCUGGAACCGGAAGGAUGCUCUCUCUCUCAACGAGCACAUGAGGUGGGUGUGGAAAGAAGAGCAUGCGGCAGAUGGACAUCUUGUACGGGUGCAUGCAUGUAAAAAGGAGCACCACACUUGUGUGCUGUGGCAAAGAAGAACAGAGCCUGUUCCUGUCUUUGGUUAUCUAGCUGUAUGAGUGUUAAACAUCCAUCAUAAAGCUAGAUAACCGAAAGUAGGAAUAACCUUCAAACCUUCGGAAGACAAGAAGGCAGAAGAAAGACGAGAGAAUGUGCUCGGGCUUCAUCAGGAAAAGAAGCAACAGAUUCCACCAUGUUGCAGACCAUCAUCCAACUGUCGAUCAAUGCAAAUUUAAUUUAAACACAUUCCAAAUGUCACGGCUAUGAACUUAGAGCACAAGUGACUGCAAUGUUCAGACUUCACCUAUAAAUGAAUGAAACACCCAAAUGGAAGAAAAUAGGACAUCUCAACUGAGUCAUGUUUGAAUGUUCAUCAUUUCAUUGUCAAUGUAUGAGAAGAGAAUUCCUGUAAAUAUUCUUAUAUUUUCAAUUAUUCUAUGGCUUGCAUUCCUUAUAUCAUAUUAUAUUGGCAGUGGAAUUAAUAUUUACAAGAAUUUAUAUAAUAAAUUUCUGAAAAUAUUUGUAUUAAAAUGUUGUCACAUUAAGUUGUACACUCAUCAAUAA